rnacentral:rRNA from 1 species
CAGCAGUGGGGAAUUUUGCACAAUGGGCGAAAGCCUGAUCCAGCUAACCGCGUGAGUGAAGAAGGCCUUUGGGUUGUAAAGCUCUUUUGUCAGGGAAGAAAAUGACGGUACCUGAAGAAUAACACCGGGCAAACCUCCUACUCCUGUG